UGCUUUGAAAUGCAUAAUAACAUAAUAAUAAUGUAUUUAUCUUAGUGAGGCAACAAAAAGCUUAGUAAAGGUUAACUAUACUAUAAUUAGGUGUCAGUGAAUUAAAUAGUCAAUAAGCAUCUUGUUAGUGAUCAACUAAAGCUGAUCAACAGGACUGUGCUGUCACUGUGGACUCAUUAACAGCCCUAAUUACUAAUGCAAACUGUAACUCUGUCUAUAAAUGUAGGUUUUGUUACGUGUCCGUGUUUUUAAUCAGCUCCCAGUUGAGGAUGAACAGUGAACGCUGACGCGUCGCUGCUGCCUCACAGACCUGCUGUGUUUCUGCUGACUCCUGCAACUCUCAGCAUGGUUUUAAUCACCGUGACUAACUUUCCCAGAAGGCCGAGCGCUCUCUCAUGCAGCAGUCUGAACGCUAACCUUCUGCUUUCAAAGGCUUAUUCAUCCGACGGUCUAGACCGCCUGCGUUACGCGCUGAUGAUGUCAUCAACGUCAGACAGUAACCGUCGUCAUGAGAGGAUGACUUCUCCCUCCAUCCGUGUCUCGUCCUCCUUCCUCUUCUCCAUACAGCCACACAGAGAACAAGUCCGACUGAAGGAGAGUGAACUGAAGUGAGACACAGAAACGAAACUGUUUGAAUCUCGUCAUAAAAAUGGAGCUUGUGAGAGUUUCUGGAUUUGAACUCGUAAAAGGAACUGCAGCCAUUAGAAAGCUGAGACUCCAUCACACGUUUAAUGGAGGAGAAACAUGACAGCUGCCAACAGGUGGAGCAGAUCUGUAAUGCUUCAGACCAACAGACAACAAAAGAACUCAACACAGCUGAUACAGAAAUACAAGAAGGCAACAAAAAGAAACGUUUCCAGCAGAUUUUGGAGGCCGGCUGCAGAGAUUUGUUCCGACACAGAUACCAAAACCUUUUGUCCGCCGACCUGACGAGUGAACUGUCAUGUUGAAACCACAGCUGAUGAUGGUGACAGAUCUUUGGGGCCAAUAUCGAUGUUAAGGUGUAAAAAAAGAUUCAGAUAUCGAUCCAUCUGUUGAUAUUCUUAUGUUGCAUGUGGAACACUUUAUAAUAAAGGCUGGAUAUUUUACAGUAACAACAGUAACAACUCUCGUGUGUAUCCAUCAAAUUAAUGAUCUAUAAUCAUAUCAGAGAGCCCGUCUGCCUACAGGUACCAUGGACUGACUUGGCGAGUAAGCUGGACAGUCACUGUUGUGAUUUCUUUUUUGCAUAACAAUAAACUGACAUCAGCGCAGCAGCAGCACAGAUUUAUAUAUAUCAUAUCGGUUAAUGUAUGAGCUGAUGCUGAUGUGUCAGUGGGGCUCUAGUUGAAACAGGUUGAACUGAAACAGUUUGAAACACACUGCUGUCUUAAAUAUCACUGUAUGUGAUGAAAGCAUGAAUAUAAGAAUAGUAUGGGAUAUAUGUUUAUUGAACUAACACACACCUUUGGCCACAAAGUGUAUAAAGACAUCCUGGUUUCACAGUGUUGAGUUCAGCACUAAAUAUAAAGCGGAAAAUUGACGGUUUCAUGUACGUUGACUUUUUCUCACUUGUCGGCCUCGUCGUGUGUCAUUUAUUAUUGUUUCCAUACGUUGAGUCUGUAAAGCAGACUCCGUUACCUGCUGCUGUUACAAAGUAUGAAUGACUCCACUAAAAUCAGUCAUAAACUCCUGUGUGUGGAAAAAGAGGAAGAGGAAAAUAAAAAGCUGCUCCAGUCAUUUAUAAUUUCCCUCCAUUUUCCAAAGACACAACGCCAGAGAGACAGAGAGAGAACUGUUCACCCUCCCGCUAAACCCAGAUUUUCCAGCU